rnacentral:rRNA from 1 species
GACGAAGGGGGCAAGCGUUGUUCGGAAUUACUGGGCGUAAAGCGCGUGUAGGUGGUUGCCACAGUCAGGUGUGAAAGCCUUGAGCUCAACUCAAGAAAUGCACUUGAUACUGGGCGGCUAGAGGACCGGAGAGGAUAGUGGAAUUCCCAGUGUAGUGGUGAAAUACGUAGAGAUUGGAAGAACACCAGUGGCGAAGGCGGACUAUCUGGACGGUUUCUGACACUAAGACGCGAAAGCGAUGGGGAGGCAAACAGG